rnacentral:rRNA from 1 species
UACGGGGGGGCAAGCGUUGUUCGGAAUUACUGGGCGUAAAGGGCUCGUAGGCGGCCAACUAAGUCAGACGUGAAAUCCCUCGGCUUAACCGGGGAACUGCGUCUGAUACUGGAUGGCUUGAAUUCGGGAGAGGGAUGCAGAAUUCCAGGUGUAGCGGUGAAAUGCGUAGAUAUCUGGAGGAAUACCGGUGGCGAAGGCGGCAUCCUGGACCGACAUUGACGCUGAGGAGCGAAAGCUAGGGGAGCAAACGGG